rnacentral:sRNA from 1 species
GCGGGCGGGGCGCAGAGCCAGGCAGCGCAGGUAUAGCCAGGCUGGAGAAAAGAAGCUGCCACCAUGGUUGCACUUUCACUGAAGAUCAGCAUUGGGAAUGUGGUGAAGACGAUGCAGUUUGAGCCGUCUACCAUGGUGUACGACGCCUGCCGCAUCAUUCGUGAGCGGAUCCCAGAGGCCCCGGCUGGUCCUCCCAGCGACUUUGGGCUCUUUCUGUCAGAUGAUGACCCCAAAAAAGGUAUAUGGCUGGAGGCUGGGAAAGCUUUGGACUACUACAUGCUCCGAAAUGGGGACACUAUGGAGUACAGGAAGAAACAGAGACCCCUGAAGAUCCGUAUGCUGGAUGGAACUGUGAAGACGAUCAUGGUGGAUGACUCUAAGACUGUCACUGACAUGCUCAUGACCAUCUGUGCCCGCAUUGGCAUCACCAACCAUGAUGAAUAUUCAUUGGUUCGAGAGCUGAUGGAAGAGAAAAAGGAGGAAGUAACAGGGACCUUAAGAAAGGACAAGACAUUGCUGCGAGAUGAAAAGAAGAUGGAGAAACUAAAGCAGAAAUUGCACACAGAUGAUGAGUUGAACUGGCUGGACCAUGGUCGGACACUGAGGGAGCAGGGUGUAGAGGAGCACGAGACACUGCUGCUGCGGAGGAAGUUCUUUUACUCAGACCAGAAUGUGGAUUCCCGGGACCCUGUACAGCUGAACCUCCUGUAUGUGCAGGCACGAGAUGACAUCCUGAAUGGCUCCCACCCUGUCUCCUUUGACAAGGCCUGUGAGUUUGCUGGCUUCCAAUGCCAGAUCCAGUUUGGGCCCCACAAUGAGCAGAAGCACAAGGCUGGAUUCCUCGAGUGAGUGACCCACAUCCUAUACCCUGUCAGGGCCCAGGACUCCCUGCCGUUGUGACCCCAGUGGGCCUGUCUCCAUUCCAAGCCUGCCCCCUCUAUUUCUUCUUCCGAGGUACCAGGGUUUGACCAACAUAGCUACCCUUUUAGUUGCCAUCAUCCAUUGUCUCUUCUCUGCCUCUGGAAUAUGAAUGUAGUUCAGUAUCUCUGCCCCUACCUCCAUCUCUGAAGCAAGCAUGUCACUUUUUUUUGAGAUUAUCUGAAGAAUUUUGCUGCAGUAGCCAGAGGGAAACAGGGUAAAAUUUUCCCUAUAGGGAACAUGGGUUAAAAGUCUCACAAGCCUCAUCUGCUGGUGUUUCUUGGAAUGCAGAGUUUGCCAUGGCUUUCUCAGCUUCUUAAGUGCAUGGUCAUCCUUCUAGAAAGCUCUUUCUCCUCUUGGUUCCCUGAAAUGGUGCUCUAGACCCACUUUCCCUCAGGGACUGAGCCUCUAACUUAAUUUUCCUCAGUCCCUUUCCCUGCAGGGAGAGACACAGGUCACAUUAAGAAUUCAUACUGGCCGGGCUCGGUGGCUCACACCUGUAAUCCCAGCACUUUGGGAGGCCGGGCGGGCAGAUCACCUGAGGGCGGCAGUUCAAGACCAGCCUGACCAACAUGGAGAAACCAUGUAUCUCUACUAAAAAUACAAAAUUAGCCAGGCGUGGUGGCACACCUGUAAUCCCAGCUACUCGGGAGGCUGAGGCAGGAGAAUCGCUUGAACCUGGGAGGCGGAGGUUUUGGUGAGCUGAGAUCGUGCCAUUGCACUCCAGCCUGGGCAACAAGAGUGAAACUCCAUCUCAAAAAAAAAAAAA